UCUCCCUCUCUCUCUCUCUGUGGUUUUUCUAGUUCUGCUUUGCAAUCUCGUUUUGAGGCUCGCGAUCACCGCCGGUGGCCGUCGUUGUUUCGCCAUCGAAUUCCGUCGGUUGAUUUCAAUUUAACCGACCUCGUAUCUUUUGUGCUCUUCUCGGAGGGAUUGCACCUCGGUUGUCGGCUUCUGUCGCCUUUCGAGGUCAAAGACAUUUAGUGUUGAGAACGAGAUUGUGGAGAUAUGGCGGCGAAUGAGAGGGAAAUAAUUGAUUUCGAACAAGGAUGGGAGAUUAUGCAAAAGGGUAUAAUGAAGCUCCAGAAUCUUCUUGAAGGGCUUCCUGAGACUCAGUUCAGCCCGGAAGACUACAUGAUAAUCUACAAUACUAUUUACGAUAUGUGUAUUCAAAAUCCUCCUCAUGAUUACUCCCAGCAACUGUAUGACAAGUAUAGAGAAGCUUUUCGAGAGUAUAUCAUGUCAGCGGUAAGGAAGAUUUAUUGGUUGAUUGUUUUUCCCUUGAGGAUACCUCAUUAGCUUUGCAUGUCUGGAAAACUUGAAGUUAUAAAAAUUAAAGAAGUUUUAUCUAGCACUGUUGUUGGAGUUACAUUCUUGCAUACGCCAUUGACUUUCUCAGUUGCUGGUGUAAUAGUUGGGUGCUUUCUUAUUUCUUUUACUCGCAUUGCCUAAGUAUCAGUCUUGUAUAGUAAGGACGUGCCUUCAUUUAAAAAUUCAAGACAGUGUCCUUCAAUUCUUUGAAAUUUUUCAAGGCUGUUUUUCCUCAUUAUAGCCUAUUGCUUUCUAUAAUUGUUUUUGUGAAAUUUAUGAAAGAUAGUAAUUUCAAGAUAGAAGAAUUGUGGCAUGUGGUGAAAGCUUGAGUCAUUUUUGAAGAAUAGAUAGUAUCAACCAACUGAGAUUACAUAAAGUGGAUUAACAAGUAGUCGGCUGUCAGAAGAAGUCUGGUGACAAGGUUUCUCGAAUAAUAAAUAGCUCCAAAAGAACAGAAGAAAAACCAAGAAUAAUUAAUGGAUGCAAAAUUCUUCCGCAAAGGAGUUUAGUAAAUCUCUAGAGAGUCAAUUUCUUUAUCAGUGUGACGAGUCAUUCAUUGCUGCAACUUAGAUGUAAUCUGGAGAAAGAUAGCUCAUCAUUCUGCUCUACUUCCAAGUUAAUGUAUGAUGGUUUUAAUUGGUA